rnacentral:rRNA from 1 species
CUUCCGCCGGCGACCGGUGCACGGGUGAGUAACACGUAUGCAACCUGCCCCUGUCAGGGGGACAACCCGCCGAAAGGCGGGCUAAACCCGCGUACAUGCCACCGGGGCAUCCCGGAGGCAGGAAAGGCUUCGGCCGGACAGGGAUGGGCAUGCGGCGCAUUAGGCAGUAGGCGGGGUAACGGCCCACCUAACCGACGAUGCGUAGGGGUUCUGAGAGGAAGGUCCCCCACACUGGUACUGAGACACGGACCAGACUCCUACGGGAGGCAGCAG